rnacentral:rRNA from 1 species
AUUGAACGCUGGCGGAAUGCUUUACACAUGCAAGUCGAACGGUAGAGGGGGCAACCCCUCGAGAGUGGCGAACGGGUAAGUAAUAUAUCGGAACGUGCCCAGUCGUGGGGGAUAACGUAGCGAAAGUUACGCUAAUACCGCAUACGAUCUAAGGAUGAAAGCGGGGGACCGCAAGACCUCGCGCGAUUGGAGCGGCCGAUAUCAGAUUAGGUAGUUGGGGGGGUAAAGGCUCACCAAGCCAACGAUCUGUAGCUGGUCUGAGAGGACGACCAGCCACACUGGAACUGAGACACGGUCCAGACUCCUCCGGGAGGCAGCAGUGGGGAAUUUUGGACAAUGGACGCAAGUCUGAUCCAGCCAUUCCGCGUGCAGGAUGAAGGCCCUCGGGUUGUAAACUGCUUUUGUACGGAACGAAAAGGUCUCUCUUAAUACGGGGGGCUCAUGACGGUACCGUAAGAAUAAGCACCGGCUAACUACGUGCCAGCCGCCGCCGUAA